CGGUUGAUCCUGCCGGACCCCACUGCUAUCGGGAUGGGAUUCAGACCUGCUAGCCGAGCGUCUCCCAACAUAUUGUCGAGCCGCGGCACCCAGCUCAGUAACUCGUGGCUACCCAGCCCUUGGGACAGGGAUAACCCCGGGCCGCUGGGGCUAAUCCCUGAUAAGUGAGAAUUCCUGGAAUGGAUUCUCGCUGAAAGGACGUCUUAGACCAUGCUUCUAAACGUCGCCCAAGGAAGGGGCCGCGACCGAUCAGGUUGUUGGUGAGGUAACGGCUCACCAAGCCUUUAACCGGUACGGGCCGUGAGAGCGGAAGCCCGGAGAUGGGCACUGAGACAAGGGCCCAGGCCCUACGGGGCGCAGCAGUCGCGAAAACUCCGCAAUACACGAAAGUGUGACGGGGCCAUCCCGAGUGCCAUCCGCUGAGGAUGGCUUUUCCCCAGUGUAUAAAGCUGGGGGAAUAAGGAGAGGGCAAGCCUGGUGUCAGCCGCCGCGGUAAUACCAGCUCUCCGAGUGGUGGGGAUGCUUAUUGGGCCUAAAGCAUUCGUAGCCUGCUUGGCAAGUCCUCCGUUAAAUCCAACGAUUCAAUCGUUGGGCUGCGGGGGAUACUGCCCGGCUAGGGGGCGGGAGAGGCCGACGGUAUUCUCGGGGUAGGGGUGAAAUCCUAUAAUCCCGGGAGGACCACCAGUGGCGAAGGCUGUCGGCUAGAACGCGCUCGACGGUGAGGGAUGAAAGCUGGGGGAGCGAACCGGAUUAGAUACCCGGGUAGUCCCAGCUGUAAACGAUGCAGGCUAGGUGUUGGGGCGGCUACGUGCCGCCCCAGUGCCGCAGGGAAGCCGUUAAGCCUGCCGCCUGGGAAGUACGGCCGCAAGGCUGAAACUUAAAGGAAUUGGCGGGGGAGCAC
rnacentral:rRNA from 1 species